AACUUUUUUCUCCCCGAAGUUUGCAUUAUAAUCUUUCCACUGAUUUUCAGCAAGGGAAUCAGAGCUACAGAACAUAAGCAUUUUUAUGGUAUACUGAAGGGAAUGUAGCUGGGAACAUCUAGCUUCGAAUCAUGGUUGUCAGUUAUCUGUUAAAUGGGCAGUUUACUCAUGUGACAAAUGGAGAAACUAAUAGCAUCCUAACAUAUGAAAUAUAGGUAGUAUCUCACUUAUUGGUUGAAAUACAGGUGCUCAGGAUAGUGGAAGCUUUUCUUAGAGCUGGCAUUUUUCCUUAAAGGGUGUUGGUCUCUGUAAUGUAAGAGAGUAUAUUACAUAUGUAUGUAAGAGAGUACCAUUCAGCUGUGACCAUAUACUUUAGUCCUUAAACUGGGACACUUUAGUCCCAAACCAGUGCCAAAUCAUGUGGUACAUCAAGAUAAAUGUAAACUGGGAUCAGCCUCACUUGGGACACGUGUCAUCCUGAAAUUAAACCGCAUCUUCACCAUUAUUAUGCAUUUUUUUUAAGUUAUACAUUUUUCAGGUGAAAAUUGACAUGUUUUGGUUUAAAUUUAUUUGAUUACAAAUAAUGUUGAAUUAUAUACUGCCCAACGGAGUAAAAUUCUCCAUUUAAACGUAAUCUUGGAGUUCCAAGGCUAGGGGUCCAAUCGGAAAUGCAGCCACCAGCCUACGCCAGAGCCACAGCAACAUGGGAUCUGAGCCGUGUCUGCGCCCUACACCACAGCUCACGGCAACGCCGGAUCCUUAACCCACUGAGCAAGGGCAGGGAUCGACCCCGCAACCUCAUGGCUCCUAGUCGGAUUCGUUAACCACUGCGCCACGACGGGAACUCCAAAUCUUAAAUAUUAUCUCUCUUUUUUUUUUUAAUGUGUUCUUCUGAAAAAGACAUAAGAAAAAAUAGCUAUGUAAUGUCAAGUCACUCUUUCUAAAUAUAGAGACAGUCUUAUACAGUGCUCCUUGAAGUUUCUAAUAACCCAGUGUUUGCAACAUUCUUGAUUGCUUUCAGGAUUUUUUUUUUUCCUCUUUUCUUGGUAUUAAUUUCUCUGGAUAAACUUGCAUAUUUUAUUAUUCCUUUUGUAAGCCAUAAGGAGAGCUAUUAUAGCAUUCAUCUGAGGUUUUUUUUGGUUUUUGUUUUUUAAACAAGGACUUAAACUAAAGCACCACUUGUACCAGGCAGUGUACUCAGUUCUGGGGACACAGUGGUUUUAUUAUGAAAAUGUAGACAUAACAAGGUGAUUAUAGCAUAGUGGGAUAAUUUUAUCAAAGCAGAUGUGUGAUGCACAAGUAAGGGCACUUAGCCUGGACUUGGGGAACCUGGAAAGUUUCCAGAAAGAAGGAAUUUCCGAGCUAAGACCUGAUAAAUGAGCAGUACAUGUGUAACCUCUUGCUUGUCUGCCAUGUGUGUUAGUACUGCUGUAUUAGUUCAGGCUGGUGGUCCCCCCACCUUCCAUUCUUUCUAUAAUUAGUAAACAGUAUUGUAUCAAGAGACAAAUUAUAUACGAUCACUAAAAUUGGCCCCCCAUUUCAAGAUCUCAACUGCACAUGUAUCUGUCUCUUAGUAGUUUCUCUUAAACCCUUUGAAAGUCCUGCAAAUUCCUGGCCUAUAUCAAUUUUGAUAGUGAAUUUCAUAUUAAACACUUAAAAUAUGACUAUUAAAAAUUUAACCUUCACUUUAUACCUCAAAUUAUGUUGUUUUCAGAAGAAAAGACAUUGAAAUAAUUGUGUUCAUGUAUAGUUUACAUGUUGAAGUGUAAGACUGAUUAUGACUCUCCUUAAAGACUUCUACAUUCUAAUAAUUGUUGUGUUCUUAAAGCUUGUAUGGGUGCUCUAGAGGAUAAUGAGUUGGUCAGUGCGCCUCGGGUACUAGUUAUAGUAGGAUAGUUGGUUUUAGUUACCACUUUUACAUAAGUUACAUAUUUUUGUUUGUUGAAUUUGAGUUAUCAUUCUUAUUACUGUGUUGUAAUUCCAUCUCAAAAAUGGGGGGGUGCUGGUUCAUUCAAUCAUAAAAGUAGUAAAUAAAUCACAGUAUCUCAGAGUAAUAUAAAUGUGAUCCUUGAACAGAACUGCAGUGCCUAAAGUGUUCUGAGGAGAGUUGGGCUUGGCUCCUUAGGAAACAUUGGCAGUGUUUUGGAGACAUUUAUUAUCACUUUAGGGAGUGCUGCUAGCAUCUAGUGUAUGGAAGCCAGGGGUGCUGUGAAACAUCCUGCAGUUCACAGGCCAGGACCCCCCCCCCCCCGCAAAGAUUAUCUUGCCCUAAAUGUCAAUAGUUCUCAGUUUAAGAAACCCUGGCUUCAGUGGAAUGUGGGUCUGUACAUUCUGGGAAUGAGAAUUUAAGAAUGUGAUGAUUUAUACAAGCAAUGGAGAAGAAAAGUGUGAAUAGGAAUCACUAUGGCACAUGCCUCAAAAGUAGGUUUUAUUGACUUCAUGAAUAAUUUGCCUACUUAUCCCCAAAGUUCUUGGUUAUUUAUGAGACUUUGUCAAGUGGUGGCCUUGUGCCACCAAAACAUUUGCGUGAUUUAAAACUAUAAUUACUGUUUUUGUAAAUCAGUAAAGUUUUUCCAGGAGUUCCUGUCAUGGCUCAGUGGUUAGCGAAUCUGACUAGGAGCCAUGAGGUUGUGGGUUCAAUCCCUGGCCUUGCUAAGUGGGUUAAGGAUCUGGCGUUGCUGUGGCUCUGGUGUAGGCCGGAGGCUGCAGCUCCGAUUAG
rnacentral:lncRNA from 1 species